GAAGGAGAAAAAGAAGAAGAAGAAAAAGAAAAGGACGAGAAAAAGUGCGAGAGCUGACGAGGACAGGAAAUCUGUGACCUCUGGAUUAAUGAUAUCAUUUUUUUGUUGAUUUUUCUUUACUUUCUUCUUUCUUUCUCUUGGAAUUA
rnacentral:ribozyme from 13 species